rnacentral:rRNA from 1 species
GACGAACGCUGGCGGCGUGCUUAACACAUGCAAGUCGAACGGUGAAGCGCCUUCCUUUUUGGUGGGUGUGGAUGAGUGGCGAACGGGUGAGUAACACGUGAGUAACCUGCCCCCUUCUUCUGGAUAACCGCAUGAAAGUGUGGCUAAUACGUGAUAUUCUGGGUCUGUCGCAUGAUGGGUCUGGGAAAGAUAUUGUUUCGGUGGGGGAUGGGCUCGCGGCCUAUCAGCUUGUUGGUGGGGUGAUGGCGUACCACGGCGGUGACGGGUAGCCGGCCUGAGAGGGUGGACGGUCACAAUGGGACUGAGACACGGCCCAGACGCCUACGGGAGGCAGCAGUGGGGAAUAUUGCACAAUGGGCGGAAGCAUGAUGCAGCGACGCCGCGUGAGGGAUGGAGGCCGUCGGGUUGUGAACCUCUUUCGCCAGUGAAGCAGGCCUGCCUCGUUUGUGGGUGGGUUGACGGUAGCUGGAUAAGAAGCGCCGGCUAACUACGUG